rnacentral:rRNA from 1 species
GACGAACGCUGGCGGCGUGCCUAAUACAUGCAAGUUGAGCGCUGAAGGUUGGUACUUGUACCCACUGGAUGAGCAGCGAACGGGUGAGUAACGCGUGGGGAAUCUGCCUUUGAGCGGGGGACAACAUUUGGAAACGAAUGCUAAUACCGCAUAAAAACUUUAAACACAAGUUUUAAGUUUGAAAGAUGCAAUUGCAUCACUCAAAGAUGAUCCCGCGUUUUAUUAGCUAGUUGGUUAGGUAAAGGCUCACCAAGGCGAUGAUACAUAGCCGACCUGAGAGGGAGAUAGGGCAAAAUGGGAAUGGGACACGGCCCAAACUCCUACGGGAGGCAGCAGGAGGGAAUCUUCGGCAAAGGAGGAAAGGCUGAACGAGCAACGACGCGGGAGUGAAGAAGGUUGUCGGAGCGGAAAACUCUGUUGGUAGAGAAGAAAGUUGGUGAGAGUGGAAAGCUCAUCAAGUGACGGUAACUACCCAGAAAGGAACGGCUAACUACGUG